rnacentral:rRNA from 1 species
ACGGCCUUCGGUUGUAAACCUCUUCACCAUCGGCGAAGCCCAUAGCUUUUGUUGUGGGUGACGGUAGGUGGAGAAGAAGCACCGGCCAACUACGUGC